rnacentral:rRNA from 1 species
GGGUUGUGAGGUUAAGUGACUAAGCGUACACGGUGGAUGCCUAGGCAGUCAGAGGCGAUGAAGGGCGUGCUAAUCUGCGAAAAGCGUCGGUAAGG